rnacentral:rRNA from 1 species
UACGUAGGGUGCAAGCGUUAAUCGGAAUUACUGGGCGUAAAGCGUGCGCAGGCGGUUUUGUAAGCCAGGUGUGAAAUCCCCGGGCUCAACCUGGGAAUGGCAUUUGGGACUGCAAGGCUGGAGUGUGGCAGAGGAGACUGGAAUUCCUGGUGUAGCAGUGAAAUGCGUAGGAUAAUCAGGAGGAAUACCGAUGGACGAAGGCAGG